AUCUCUCUCAGCCAAACCUACCUCUCUCUCAACCCUAAACCCUAAAUCGAGCCAAUCCUCUCUGCGCAAAACCUCCUCUCAGGCAAACCUCUGUGUCAACCGCGCCUCUGAGGAAAUUUAUACACAAAAAACAAUUAAAAAAUCUACUGCUGCUGGAAUAACUCAGAGCUUUUGCCAAAGUAUCUGAACUUUUUGAAGGGUCUUGUCGAUUCUGACACCUUGCCACUCAAUGUAUCACAAGAAAUGCUUCAACAACAUAGCAUUUUGAAGACAAUUAAGAAGAAGCUCAUUCGGAAAGCCCUUGAUAUGAUCCGUAAACUUGCUGAGGAAGAUCCUGAUGAGUCCAAUGACAAAGACGAGAAAGGCCAGUUAAGGCGUCCGAUCAUCCAGGAGAGCGCAAUAAAGAACGCUGAGGUAUGUUCUAGACUUCUUCCCCUGCACUUAUAGAAAUAUGACAUAUACGAAGGUUGUGCAUAUGGUCUUUGUGCAUUCAUGAUCUUCUUCACUUUUCAAAUGGCCUUGGCCUGAUACAUUGUGACUUGAAGCCUGAGAAUAUACUGGUGAAAAGCUACAGUAGGUGUGAGGUGAAAGUCAUUGAUCUUGGGAGUAGUUCCUUUGAGACAGAUUAUCUCUGCUCCUAUGUUCAGUCUAGAUCAUAUCAUGCUCCUGAGGUUAUCUUGAGACUUGCAUAUGAUAAGAAAAUAGAUACAUGGUCACUUGGCUGCAUCUUGGCCGUACUUUGUACUGGCAAUGUAAGUGCUAUGCAUCCAUAUAUACUUGUGAUUAGAUUUCUGUUUUUAUUAUCUAAUACAAACGUGUGGAUAAUGGUUUAUAGCAUGUGGUUGUCAUUUUAAUUC